rnacentral:rRNA from 1 species
CCUACGGGAGGCAGCAGUCGAGAAUCAUUCACAAUGGGGGAAACCCUGAUGGUGCGACGCCGCGUGGGGGAAUGAAGGUCUUCGGAUUGUAAACCCCUGUCAUGUGGGAGCAAAUUAAAAAGAUAGUACCCCAAGAGGAAGAGACGGCUAACUCUGUGCCAGCAGCCGCGGUAAUACAGAGGUCUCAAGCGUUGUUCGGAAUCACUGGGCGUAAAGCGUGCGUAGGCUGUUUCGUAAGUCGUGUGUGAAAGGCGCGGGCUCAACCCGCGGACGGCACAUGAUACUGCGAGACUAGAGUAAUGGAGGGGGAACCGGAAUGCUCGGUGUAGCAGUGAAAUGCGUAGAUAUCGAGAGGAACACUCGUGGCGAAGGCGGGUUCCUGGACAUUAACUGACGCUGAGGCACGAAGGCCAGGGGAGCGAAAGGGAUUAGAUACCCGAGUAGUC